GACGAACGCUGGCGGCGUGCCUAAUACAUGCAAGUCGAGCGGACCAAAGGGAGCUUGCUCCUGGAGGUCAGCGGCGAACGGGUGAGUAACACGUGGGCAACCUGCCUGUAAGACUGGGAUAACAUCGAGAAAUCGGUGCUAAUACCGGAUAAUAAAAAGAACUGCAUGGUUCUUUUUUGAAAGAUGGUUUCGGCUAUCACUUACAGAUGGGCCCGCGGCGCAUUAGCUAGUUGGUGAGGUAACGGCUCACCAAGGCAACGAUGCGUAGCCGACCUGAGAGGGUGAUCGGCCACACUGGGACUGAGACACGGCCCAGACUCCUACGGGAGCAGCAGUAGGGAAUCUUCCGCAAUGGACGAAAGUCUGACGGAGCAACGCCGCGUGAGUGAUGAAGGUUUUUGGAUCGUAAAACUCUGUUGUUAGGGAAGAACAAGUGCCGUUCGAAAGGGCGGCACCUUGACGGUACCUAACGAGAAAGCCACGGCUAACUACGUGCCAGCAGCCGCGG
rnacentral:rRNA from 1 species